GCUGGAGUAGCUCAUUUGGUUAGAGCGUGUGGCUGUUAACCACAACAAGGUCGAAGGUUCAAGUCUUUCCUCUAGCG
rfam:Ipomoea nil DNA, scaffold: scaffold0164, cultivar: Tokyo-kokei standard.